rnacentral:rRNA from 1 species
GACGAACGCUGGCGGCGUGCUUAACACAUGCAAGUCGAACGGAAAGGCCCUGCUUUUGUGGGGUGCUCGAGUGGCGAACGGGUGAGUAACACGUGAGUAACCUGCCCUUGACUUUGGGAUAACUUCAGGAAACUGGGGCUAAUAUCGGAUAGGAGCUCCUGCUGCAUGGUGGGGGUUGGAAAGUUUCGGCGGUUGGGGAUGGACUCGCGGCUUAUCAGCUUGUUGGUGGGGUAGUGGCUUACCAAGGGUUUGACGGGUAGCCGGCCUGAGAGGGUGACCGGGCACAUUGGGACUGAGGUACGGCGCAGACUCGUACGGGAGGCAGCAGUCGGGAGUAUUGCACAGUGGGCGGAAGCCUGAUACAGAGACGCCGCGUGCGGGAUGACGGCCUUCGGGUUGUAAACCGCUUUCGCCUGUGACGAAGCGGGAGUGACGGUAAUGAGUAAAGAAGCACCGGCUAACUACGUG